rnacentral:lncRNA from 1 species
CGCUGAAAUGGGCUCACCAUUAUAGAUUCUUUUGUUUCCUUUGUGUGCCUAAUUUCAUUAAGUUUGAAUUGACUAAUUAACUGAUUUCUGUUCACUAAUGGAAUUGUUUUAAAAACUUACCUUUAAUUUUUGUGAUUUCUAUAUGCCUUCACUGGGAUUCGAACCCGUCCAUGAAUUCUGAUACGUGUUACUGACAUGAACAUAUUGACGAAACCUCUGGGCUAACAAUUGGUUA